rnacentral:ncRNA from 1 species
CUCAUGGAGAUUUUGAUCCUGGCUCGGGAUGAAUGAUGGCGACAUACUUAACACAUGCAAGUCGGACGGGAAGUGGUGUUUCUAGUGGUGGACGGGUGAGUAACACGUAAGAACCUGCCCUUAGGAGGGGAACAACAGCUGGAAACGACUUCUAAUACCCCAUAGGCUGAGGAGAAAAAGGAGGAAUCUACUGGCCAAGGAGGGACUCGUUUCUGAUUAGUUAGUUGGUGAGGCAAUGGAUUACCAAGGCGACGAUCAGUAGCUGGUCCGAGAGGAUGAUUAACCACACUGGGACUGAGCCACGACCCAGACUCCUACGGGAGGCAGCAGUGGGGAAUUUUCCGCAAUGGGCAAAAUCCUGACGGAGCAAUGUCGCGUGAAGGAAGAAGGCCCAUGGGUCAUGAACUUAUUUUCUCGGAGAAGAAACAAUGAUGGUAUCUAAGGAAUAAGCAUCGGAUAACUCUAUGCCAGCAGUCGCGGUAAGACAGAGGAUGCAAGCGUUAUCCAAAAUGAUUGGGCGUAAAGCGUCUGUAGGUGGAUUUUCAAGUCUGUCGUCAAAUCCCAGGGCUCAACCCUGGACAGGCGGUGGAAAAUAC